rnacentral:rRNA from 1 species
CCUACGGGGCGCAGCAGUGAGGAAUAUUGGUCAAUGGGAGAGAUCCUGAACCAGCCAAGCCGCGUGAGGGAAGACGGCCCUAUGGGUUGUAAACCUCUUUUGUCGGAGAACAAAACCCGGGACGAGUCCCGGACUGCGUGUAUCCGAAGAAAAAGCAUCGGCUAACUCCGUGCCAGCAGCCGCGGUAAUACGGAGGAUGCGAGCGUUAUCCGGAUUUAUUGGGUUUAAAGGGUGCGUAGGCGGUCUGUUAAGUCAGCGGUAAAAUUGAGGGGCUAAACUCCGUGGAGGCGUUGAAACUGGAAGAA